GGCGGCCCGGUAGUCCAGUGGUUAGCACGUUGGAUUCACAGUGCAGAGGUACCGGGUUCGAUUCCAGCUCCGGCCUCCCUGUGUGGAGUUUGCAUGUUCUCCCCGGGCCUGCGUGGGUUUUCUCCGGGUGCUCCGGUUUCCUCCCACAUUCCAAAAACAUGCAUGGCAGGCUGAUUGGACGCUCUAAAUUGUCCCUAGGUGUGAGUGUGAGCGUGGAUGGUUGUUCGUCUCUGUGUGCCCUGCGAUUGGCUGGCAACCGAUUCAGGGUGUCCCCCGCCUACUGCCCGAAGACGGCUGGGAUAGGCUCCAGCACCCCCCGCGACCCUAGUGAGGAUCAAGCGGUUAGGAAGAUGAAUGAAUGAAUGGUUAGCAUGUCGCAGUUUUGUUUUCGAAACACAAACAGAUUUUUAUUUUUUAUUUCUUUGGAAUGAAGCAUUAGCAUUAGCGCCUAGCAAUAAAUUCUCCAAUAAGUUGAAUUGUUAAUUUUUUUAUUUUUUUGCAAAUGUUUUUGGUUUUAAUCUUAUAUAUAUAUAUAUAUAUAUAUAUAUAUAUAUAUAUAUAUAUAUAUAUAUUCUGUAUAUAUACAGUAUAUCGAUCGUUAUUUUAGCUAGUCUUGUUUUUUAGGAAGCAAACAAUGAAGACAAAUGCGACAACAACAGCCUGUGCCCACGUUGUGUUUUUGUCAGCGACGAUGACAAUGAUGAAAUGAUUUUGCUGACUGACCUUUUUUUUUUUUUUUCACAACAGUAACACGAUGGUGACAAUCUUAUAAUGUUACUCGACAAUCAUUUGGUGAUAAAUGUCAUCGCAAGCUUGAAUUUUGCUAUGUAAAUCUGGUGCUAAUGGGCUGCUAGCUAGCUAGCAAGCAUCCGUUUAUUAGCUGCUCUGUGUGCUACUGUUAAGAGUAGAACAUGCAGGGGGGGUUGGGGGAGGGGGUUUGGCCGGGAUGGAAAGUGUAAUACGUUGUUGCCUUAUUGAUCCAUGAAUAAAACUAUCAGAUAUCGAUCAGACGAAAAUGUUGAGGAAAUGAACAAUGCAAACAAGGUCAUCAGCAACAGUUUGGACAGACGUACACAAUGGCUUCAAUCAUUUCCCCAGUCUGCUUUCAGGUCGCCCCCCACCCCUCAAGUUUUCCUCCCGACGGAGGAGAUUAUUUCACCGAUGUACACAGACAGAGCCUCGGAGGCACAAGAGUGCCUUCUGCCAUGUGUCGAGGAGCCACAUCAGCGUCACACGGACAAGACCGCAAUCAUCUGAUCGACCCCCACCCCCAUGCAAGUGUGCACACAAGACACUCGCGCCGUCUCAAUGCUCGUCCGUGCUGCCUUACAUGAAUGCUCCUGGUGUGGGGAAAAGCCUUCUUGCUCAGUGCUUCUCAACUUUUAUUGAACCAAGUUCCAUAUUUGACGCCAGGAAAAAUCUAGCAGGCCACCAAAUAAACAAAAAUGUCAGAAUAUAAUUGAUGAUCUCAUCUUAAUUUAUUGACUAUAGAGUUUAUCCGGAGCUCGCAUUUAUCUGUGUUGAUUUAAAUGACAAAUUGACAACUAAUUUUGUACAGUGUAUAUAAAAAGUCUACACACCCCUGUCCAAACACCAGAUUUCAACACCCACAAAAAAAAAAUGAAAACGAGCUAAUUCAUUUCCAAACUUUUUCCACCAUUAAUGUGACCAAUAACUUGUACAGCUCAAUUUAUUUUAGUUGACUUGAUCUUUUUCAGAGGUCCAAGUGCAAAUACACAAAAAUAAUGUGGGAUGUUUCUGCGUUUUGAAUUAACCCAUUUUGGUGCUAGCACCGAAUGCUAUCGUGUCCUGUUCAUAUUUCUUUCCACCUCAUCUAAGGCUCAAACAUUUUACAAGGGAUGGAUGACUAACGAUACCAGGCAUCGUAUCGGUGCCUUAUUUCAAGAUAUCGGUACUCGAAACGUCGACCGAUAACCGUGGUCGUUUCACAAGCAGGAACUAGAAAUGAGAAGAAUAGCAAAUUGCCAUUAACUUUGUACAAUUUUAAGAAAUUUUGCUCUUUUGGGGAAAAUAGCUCUUUCUUUAAAAUGAUCGGUCACUUUUUGGGGGGGGGGGGGGUUGGGGAGGAAUUUUGUGUCUCAAAAGUGCGAGUGGUUUCGUGGUAGUGUCACUGUAGAGUCCCAAAAAUAUAGGGACGACUGCGAUUGGCCACUCUGUGUUUUGUGGGUGUGGCUUCAUGAAAAAAGAAGAAUUCUCGAAACAGCCUUGUAAGAACAAUAAGAAAAUCAAGACAUCAAGCUCAGAAGAACACGGAUAGCAGGAAGUGGUCUUGAACAAACAAAGUCAUAUUUUGUCAAUACGGCAAGGCCGGCGCAUCGCAAGAGAGCUGACUAAUGACGGCGCUAAUUCCCCCCCCCCCCCCCCCCCCACCCCGACGAGCGCAUCCGACGCUCUCGUAGCACUUCCAGGAAAGGAACGCAUUAAGGGCCCGCAUAGAGCCCCCACCAGCUUGCCGCUAAUAGCGUAGCUUCCUCCGGCACCGAGAUUCGUUUUACACAAAUGACACAAAACGCACCCAAAUGAGAAAAAUCUUUCACAAGAUGGCGGCCAAGUUUUCUUUCAACGCAGGUUUUCACAAUCUUCCGACGCAUGUGUGAUUUCUAGCUAUGAGACACCGAUUUUGACACAUUGAAUAGCAUGAUUAAUUCAGGACUUCAUUCUGCACCGUCUGGAUUGGGGGGCAGGGGCUGGGGGGGGGGGGGCGGAACAACAGAAAGAUUAUAUUUAACUGGUACACUAACUGGACACUGUAACAGCCUGUGCCCACCCACGCACUAGCGCAGCCAAUAAAGGCUUUAGUGCCUCAAAUACCGCAGCAACCAUGUGGGAGGAUUUUAUUUAUUCAUUUUCAUUAUUCGUCAGAAAAACAAAACAAAAACAACGGGGGGGAUGCUAUUAAAACCAGUCGAGUGGAGCGAUCAACCCCGCGGAACGUUUUCAAACGCCAAACGGUGACUUCACGUUUUAAUUGGAGACUUGCGUGUGAGAGGUGAUCAUCAUCGGCGCCUUUGCAAUCAAGCGGAGAAGAGAGGUUCAUUCGGAGUCCAUUAAGGUGAGAUUAAAAACAAAUGAGCUUUCCUGAUUUUUUUUUUUUUUUAAGUCCCUUAAUAGUGAAACUGUGAAGACCUUCCAGGCAUUUUGCGUUUUCCACAUUUUGCAAAGCGACUGGCCUCAUUCCUAAAUUCCAUCCACCCAUCUAUUUUUCUAUUCGCUUAUCCUCACAA